AGGUGAGGGAGCGCGGACGCCCCGGGGAAGAGGUCGGAGGUCUCCGGAACUAAAGCCGGUGGAGAAAAGGGUCUGGGAUAGGGCCAGAAAUUCUACAUUUCUAACAAGCUUCCAAGGAUGUGGGUGCUGAUGAUCUACAGACCUUACUUUGCUCAGCAGGCCAUCAAACAACCAAAGGGUUUUAUGGAGAAAUGACCCAUGAAAAACAAUUCCCUGCUUCUACCAGAACAAACUUGCUGGACGUGGAUGGCCCCACCUAGAUGGCCGAGAGCUGGAAGUUGCACCCUGCGAUCGUGAAGGAAGUUGCUGUGAAUGUAUUGCUUCCUUCAUCAGGAAAACUUGAGGUGGCAUGCAAAAAUACAUGGGCCACAGAUAUUUUAAAAAUAUGAAGAAAUCCGGUCAAAGGGAGAAAAUAUAGGUAGGAAAAAUAAGAGGAGUCCCACAUGGAAAGGGCUGAUGGAUUCCUUUCAAGUAGUGUUUCUGUCCUCCCAGAUGACACCUUGGAAAAUUAGAACAUGUUCAAACAUACAGAGAAGACUAGAGAUUAACAUCAUGAGGCUCACGGAAUUACCACCCCCUUUGCCAAAUAUGCUGGGGGAAAGUUUUCCCUAAUGCCCUUUGGAUGCAGUUGCAUUUGACAGCUCCUCCCUCUUUCUCCAGGUACCCCCCCCCCCUGCCGCUUCCUGUGCCCACCUUCUCUCCCACCCUCCAGUAAAGAGCCUGAAAUGAGUAUGGUUGUAUUCAGUUUUAUAUUUAGAAGCCCUAAGGAAUUAUACUAAGGAAGCAAGAAGAAGCCAUUUGGUUGGUUGUCAGUGGGUCUUGUUUGAAGGCAACUUGCCCCAGGGAUUCAUUUGCAGAAUUUCUAGCACCCAGGUAUUGGGGGAAAGAAAGUGUUGCAUCCAGAAAAUCUAACCCAGAAGUUUUCUGUUUCUUCCCACCCCUCACCCCCCAACACUUUUAGCGCUGAAUUUUCUCCCUAGAUUCUCAGCUUAUCUGCUUUGGGUUUUCCCCUUUCUGGCCCCAUCCCAACCUUUGAUUUCUAGGCUUUAUUCAGGCUCCACAAGUAAGUAGUGACAUCUCUAUGAUGCUCCCUACAUGGGGAAGUGUGUGUCAGGAUAUCAGGAGGCAGGUAGUUGAUGCCUGGAGGGCCCACUCACUUACCUCCUCAUUUCCCCUGUAAGUCUCUUCCACUCCUGGGGGUGGGGGGGGGGUCCUCCGGCUGCUGCCGAGAAGCCUUUUGUUGGGUCAGAGGAAACACUCUGCUCACACUGAUGCCAAUAAGCCCCCAGAAUUUUCCACUCCACGAUUAUUUGUCCCUCCCUGACCGUGAAUAAAGGAAAAGCCACACGCAGACACAUGUUAUUAAAAUGAACUGUUUAUAUUAUCUCAGUUGAGUCAAUACAUUAUAAUGUAUUAAAAUGG